rnacentral:rRNA from 1 species
AUGGCAUUCUGGUGGCAGUUUUUGGCCAAGGUUGGAAGCCAAGAACACCUCUUAAUUUUGAUCACGGACUUGACAUUGUGGUCGGCGGUGCGUGGUGCAGUGCGUGGUGGAAACGGACAUGUUAUAGAAGAUGUUGAGGGUGGCACCGGAGUUAAUGGCCAAAUGGGGUUCCUCGGCACCGAAGAGAAGGAUGCUGCAGCGACACGUACUGGGUUCCAUUUCCAACAAGAGAAGAACUUAUGA